UGAUCUUUGGUUGAUUUCUGUUUCCUGAAACGUUGAGGUUAUUCACAAUGAAGAUACCGGAACGUGGUGCAUGUUGGAAUUCGCUUGUACGAUGCUAAUUGUGUCAGGAAUAAUUUGUCAGGGGGAACAUAAUUGGAAAUCAUAAUAAUUGCUCGCAAAAAUAUCAUCGCAGAUAAUCAAAAUCUUAUCAAUAACGAGAAAUGUAAAUGCGUAUUAGUAACGACGCAGUUGAAAUGUACAAGAAUGAAUUGUGUCGCGGACAUGAAUGACCAUCUAUCUCAAUGGAAUAAAAUCGCACGCGCCGCUUUCUAUCAGGCUGCAUCCUGGAGCACAGUUUAUCGUCUAUCGUCUGCCCUAAAUAGAAACGUUGCUUCUCGAGGUCACUAGCUGCUUCCUUUGACGCCCAUCCCUCAUGCUGUGUGUAACGUGUCCUGUCACACGGAAAAAGUGAUCUAACUGUGCGAUAACCAACAAUACAACUCGUUUUGAUAUAUUCAUUUUUUAGAAAAUUUAUUUUGGAAUUUGUUAUGUUAUCAAAUUUACAUACAGAAAUUGUAAAAUUACAUAACGUGAAGUGAAAAUCAUAUAGAAUAUGAAAUGAUAUAAUGACAUUGUACAAAGAAGAAUUAGAAUUCAGAAAGAAAAAAAACUUAAAGUUACAAGAAAAAGAAGUUUUGAAGUUCGAAUACGAAAAACUUUAUAAAAAUAUCUGUUAUUUAAAUAAAUAACAAUAUGCUGCUACCAUUUACAAUCAA